rnacentral:rRNA from 1 species
GUGAGGAAUAUUGGGCAAUGGGCGCAAGCCUGACCCAGCAACGCCGCGUGAAGGAAGACGGUCUUCGGAUUGUAAACUUCUUUUGUCAGGGACGAAUAAUGACGGUACCUGGCGAAUAAGCCACGGCUAACUACGUGCCAGCAGCCGCGGUAAUACGUAGGUGGCAAGCGUUGUCCGGAUUUACUGGGUGUAAAGGGCGAGUAGGCGGAUUUGCAAGUCAGGUGUGAAAGCCCGGGGCUUAACCCCGGGUCUGCAUUUGAAACUGCGGCUCUUGAGUAUCGGAGAGGCAGGCGGAAUUCCCGGUGUAGCGGUGGAAUGCGUAGAUAUCGGGAGGAACACCAGUGGCGAAGGCGGCCUGCUGGACGACAACUGACGCUGAGGAGCGAAAGCGUGGGGAGCAAACAGGAUUAGAUACCCCUGUAGUCC